UACGUAGGGUGCGAGCGUUGUCCGGAAUUACUGGGCGUAAAGAGCUCGUAGGUGGUUUGUCGCGUUGUUCGUGAAAACCUGAGGCUUAACCUUGGGCGUGCGGGCGAUACGGGCAGACUGGAGUACUGCAGGGGAGACUGGAAUUCCUGGUGUAGCGGUGGAAUGCGCAGAUAUCAGGAAGAACACCCGUGGCGAAGGCGGCUUUCUGGGACGGUACUGACGCUGAGACGCGAAAGCGUGGGGGAGCGAACAGG
rnacentral:rRNA from 1 species